GAAUGAAUGUUCUAAUGUAGGCGUGAAAGAAGAAGGUACAAGCACUAAGCAAGCGGAAGGAGCACAAGAUCGAGGUAAAGCACCUCUAUAGGCGAUUUGGAGUUAUGGGACGAGCACAUGUUCAAGCCUUAAAAUACCAAACGCUUCCGCAACUCAUAUGCAUACUUUUGGGUCUUUGUUUUGCCACUUUGUUAGACUUUGUUGAAGUGUUUUAGAUUUAAAAACUUGUUACUUUUGUUGGAAUGGUUUUUAUGUAAAUUGGGUCGUAGGUAAAUGUUGUAUGUUAUGUAAAAACAGGGGGUAUGUCCGUUUUACAAACGGGUCAUGCCCAAUUUUUGUAAAAAUUUCUUUAAGCGUCAAAGUGGUAUUUUAAUUCUCC